GAGUUUGAUCCUGGCUCAGAACGAACGCUGGCGGCAGGCCUAACACAUGCAAGUCGAACGAGCUGGGACCUUCGGGUCCCGAUGCUAGUGGCGCACGGGUGAGUAACACGUGGGAAUCUACCCAAUAGUACGGAAUAACUGAGGGAAACUUUGGCUAAUACCGUAUACGCCCUUCGGGGUAAGAUUUAUCGCUAUUGGAUGAGCCCGCGUCUGAUUAGGUAGUUGGUGAGGUAACGGCUCACCAAGCCGACGAUCAGUAGCUGGUCUGAGAGGAUGAUCAGCCACACUGGGACUGAGACACGGCCCAGACUCCUACGGGAGGCAGCAGUGGGGAAUAUUGGACAAUGGGCGCAAGCCUGAUCCAGCCAUGCCGCGUGAGUGAAGAAGGCCUUCGGUUG
rnacentral:rRNA from 1 species